rnacentral:rRNA from 1 species
AUUGAACGCUGGCGGCAUGCUUUACACAUGCAAGUCGGACGGCAGCACAGAGAAGCUUGCUUCUUGGGUGGCGAGUGGCGAACGGGUGAGUAAUAUAUCGGAACGUACCGAGUAAUGGGGGAUAACUAAUCGAAAGAUUAGCUAAUACCGCAUAUUCUCUGAGGAGGAAAGCAGGGGACCUUCGGGCCUUGCGUUAUUCAAGCGGCCGAUAUCUGAUUAGCUAGUUGGUGGGGUAAAGGCCUACCAAGGCGACGAUCAGUAGCGGGUCUGAGAGGAUGAUCCGCCACACUGGGACUGAGACACGGCCCAGACUCCUACGGGAGGCAGCAGUGGGGAAUUUUGGACAAUGGGCGCAAGCCUGAUCCAGCCAUGCCGCGUGUCUGAAGAAGGCCUUCGGGUUGUAAAGGACUUUUGUCAGGGAAGAAAAGGCUGUUGCUAAUAUCGACAGCUGAUGACGGUACCUGAAGAAUAAGCACCGGCUAACUACGUG